UACGUAGGGACCAAGCGUUGUUCGGAUUUACUGGGCGUAAAGGGCGCGUAGGCGGCGUGGUAAGUCACUUGUGAAAUCUCUGAGCUUAACUCAGAACGGUCAAGUGAUACUGCUGUGCUAGAGUGCGGAAGGGGCAAUCGGAAUUCUUGGUGUAGCGGUGAAAUGCGUAGAUAUCAAGAGGAACACCUGAGGUGAAGACGGGUUGCUGGGCCGACACUGACGCUGAUGCGCGAAAGCCAGGGGAGCAAACAGG
rnacentral:rRNA from 1 species